UUUGACCUCAAAUCACGUAGGACUACCCGCUGAACUUAAGCAUAUCAAUAAGCGGAGGA
rnacentral:rRNA from 1 species